UGCCUCCAUCGUGUGAUCCUUGAUCAAUAGGUCAUGACCAGGUCAACUAGCAUAUAUACAGAGUCAAAGCGGUUCACGAAUGUAUUUUUUUCCGGAAAUCAAUUUCUGUAGUAAUCUGUAUACAUAAUAUUGUUACAUGUAAAUCUAACCAUUUAUUAUUAUUAUUAAUUUACUGAACAAUCUCCCUGUUUGUUCAGUAAAACUAACACUACAGGGGUGCCCUGUCAAAUGCUGUAGACAUGGUAUUCAUUAUAACAGCAAUAGUGCAAUAAAUCAGAUUUUAG
rnacentral:lncRNA from 1 species